UGGCCGGUACAACGGGAAGCGAAACCGCGAGGUGGAGCGAAUCUUUACAAGCCGGUCUCAGUUCGGAUUGCAGGCUGCAACUCGCCUGCAUGAAGUCGGAAUUGCUAGUAAUCGCGGAUCAGCAUGCCGCGGUGAAUACGUUCCCGGGU
rnacentral:rRNA from 1 species